UGAAUUCCAGCUUCAUCGCUUUCUACACCAAUAUCCUACACAUCAAUUUACGGUUAAAAUUUUCCUUAAUUACUCCAAUUGUCUCACUAUCUUCUUGUACACUAACUAAUAUUGACAGUGACUCGAUACACAAACCCACAAGACAAUGAGGCAAGUUAAAACAAUCAGCAACAAAAAUCAAAACCAUGGCACACCUUUGGGGUCGAACCCACUAAUCUGUUCACCUUUUCAUCUUCCAUGUUAUCGAAAGACGAUGCCGGUUUGGAUGAACUUGCAAGAUGCCGUUUAGGCUUCAUAGCUCUGAAGGAGACAAAGGUUCCAAUUCUAAAAUUUCUUGGAGUAACUGCAAAGCUAAAGAAGAAAAGAGAUAUAUUAAAACAGAAUGUCAUCGUAAUUGAGGAUGCUAUUUUGUUCAAGUCUUAGCUCCUACAAGAAGAAGAUUUACUUGCAGCUUCAAAAUUUUAUACCACUUACAGCAGGGUUAUAAAUGUCUAUCUCCUGAUGAGCACAAUUAAGAUCACCAGUCAAAACGACAGGCUUCUUCUUUUCCAGCUCCUGAAUCAUGCAUAUGAAGUAUCAUAAGCAUCAAAGGCACUUCAAAUAUCUAACUAUUUUGUGAAGAAAAAACACCAUGUCGAUAGAUAUAUUACAUCCACAAAAAAAAAAAAAUAAUAAUAAUAUAAAUAAAUAAAUAAAUAAAAUAAAAUAAAAGAAAAAGGAAACAGCUAAAAAGCAACAAGUUACAACUACAUGAAUCAUUAAGGCUUAUGUUUCUAGAAAACGAUACAGAGAGAAAAACACACACAUAUAAGCAUAGAGAUGUCUCCCUAAUAUGGACGUAUAUUAGUAGCCACAGCUUAUAGUAACUUAAAAACAUAGUAUUUAUAAAGAAGUAUAAAAAAAAAAUAAAUAAAUAAAUAAAUUGACAGAGAGAGAGCACAUACUUACUUUCACAUAGCUGCUAAGAGAUGGAUCCCAUUCUGUAAUUCUGUAUGACUAGAAUUGAAAGCAUAGACAUCAGUCAAAAAACUCUUCGAAGAAUAAAAUAGAUUAGCAACAUAAUACAAGAUGCUUGAGCUCAUCACCAGUCUUCUCAAGCCAUCUCCAGAGUUUGGAAAAUAACAGCUUAACAGAAAAAAUGAAUCAAACUCUGCUGUCACCAGCCGUCCCUCACUGUCGUGAUCUGAUAUGCCUAGGCCAUAUGUGACUGAGAGUGGUUUUAUCUACCCAAUAAGUGUUAAAAACUUUAGAACGCAUACCAUUUAGCAAAAUCAUCACUGAAGUAAAAGAAAUAGUUGCAAUGCAAAAAUCAAUCAGCAUUGGAGGGGGAACAAAAUACUUUGUUCAAGAAAGCAGCCUCCCUGAUCAUACUACAGCAGAGAUAAACAUUGCCACAAUUUUAGCCACAAAAUUUCAAACAAAGUGAGAAAAUUUGAUUUCUAAAGAUUUAAUCUGGCUGCUCAAUUAUAAAAGUUGAUGGAAAUAAUAAGCAUACCCGUGAGAUAAUUGCUAUACCAGAAUACCCAAGUUUAGAAGCGCUACAUGUCCGGAAGCUAUUCACAUAUCCAUCUAGAAGACACUGUUUGAUUGAUUCGACAUUUUUUUCAUGUUUCCAACAUUGAGAUGCAUUUGAUACCACAAAGAAAGCAAUUGGCAAAAGAAACAUCCUUACACUAUUUACACGCUGUUCCCACAUGUUCUGCAAGUUUAGAUUAAAUGCACGUCAAGAAGUACUGGAAUACUUGCCUGCAGUUUGGUUUCUUGCAAACACAAUACAUCAAAAUUUUCCCUUUGGGCCAGUUGCAGUACAGAGAAUCCUUCUAACUUUAGUAACGCUCUUAACCCAUUGACAUUCCAAGACAGAAGCUUCACAGAUUUUGUACCCUCUGCCAGAGGUGGAGGCCUCAUAGUUCUAGGGUUAUAAGCAAUCCAUCCCUUUUGAGGCUUCUUAUGCGCAAGCAUUGUCCAAGGUUCACUUUGGACUGUUAGCAGAGUAACUGCACUAUCAUCAGUAGCCAUUUCACUAUUAAUAUACAUACCUAAUAUUAUUUACUUUUUAUCAAAAGGACCCUGCCUAGAAACAAUAACCAGGUGUCUAUGCUCCGGAUAAAACCGAAUGAACUAAGAUUAACGACCUAAAGAACAUGUAAGUUAGAGAAAGAGUGCAUUUUAAAUUAACAAAGGAUGCCAAAUGAUUAUUAAUGAAGCAAAAGUUCAAAAUAAUAAAGCAGUGAAAACUGUAUACAUAUAUUCUACUGUACCUGAAAUCUUAUCAGUUUUGACUGAGGCUUUAGCAUCAACUUCACCAGUUUCAUUGCCAAUUGGUGAUUUUGUAGCCUUUCUCUUACUUUCUUGGAGUGCAGAAACUUCUGGAACAGAGUAAAUUUCUUGAGCAUGUUCCUCAUGAGAAAACUUCUUAGCCUUCCUCUCCCCUGAUAUACUUUUCGUAUUAGCCUUCCUUUUUACUGAUACACUUUCAGUAGAAAUGGAGGAUACCUCUUCUAUUUCCACAUGAGAACUACCAACUGCACAUAGAAGAAACUUCCAACCUUUAAAAAUAAGCAACAUAGCAUUGAACCAAAACUGAUUGAGAGAACAAGGACGAGGUGGAACAAAGGUAAAACAAACAAUUGAUAGUAACGAAAAUUCUUCUGCUCCAAUCUUAAUGGAAAUGACACGACGCUAUGCAAAAUACUGGAGAAUAUUGAAAUUUGAUUCUUUGGUAAAAAGAGUUUACCUUCCAUCUUCUUCUCCACAUAAACCUUCAAGGCAGAUACUAGAUCACGUUUAGAACCUUUAGCAGGGACCCCAACACUCCAGCUUCAUUGCUUUCUACACCAAUAUCCUACACAUCAAUUUACAGUUAAAAUUUUCCUUAAUUACUCCAAUUGUCUCACUAUCUUCUUGUACACUAAUUAAUAUCGACCAUGACUCGAUACACAAACCCACAAGACAAUGAGGCAAGUUAAAACUAUCAGCAGCAAAAAUCAAAACCAUGGCACACCUUUGGGGUCGAACCCACUAAUCUGUUCACCUUUUCAUCUUCCAUGUUAUCGAAAGACGAUGCCGGUUUGGAUGAACUUGCAAGAUGCCGUUUAGGCUUCAUAGCUCUGAAGGAGACAAAGGUUCCAAUUCUAAAAUUUCUUGGAGUAACUGCAAAGCUAAAGAAGAAAAGAGAUAUAUUAAAACAGACAAAAAUAAUUUCUUUAAUAUAAAAGAAAUGAUUUUUAUAGAAUAACUGAAGCUGUCAUAAAUGAACACAAUACCACUGUACCAGCGGAUGAAGAGGCACAGUAAUUUGAAUCGUUAAAGCUAAUUAAUUUAAUCCCAGAACAAAAAUUACAUUUUUAUUACUGAAAAAGCGAAGAAAGAAA
rnacentral:lncRNA from 1 species